rnacentral:rRNA from 1 species
AGUGAACGCUGGCGGUAGGCCUAACACAUGCAAGUCGAACGGCAGCACAGUAAGAGCUUGCUCUUACGGGUGGCGAGUGGCGGACGGGUGAGGAAUACAUCGGAAUCUACUUUUUCGUGGGGGAUAACGUAGGGAAACUUACGCUAAUACCGCAUACGACCUACGGGUGAAAGCAGGGGAUCUUCGGACCUUGCGCGAUUGAAUGAGCCGAUGUCGGAUUAGCUAGUUGGCGGGGUAAAGGCCCACCAAGGCGACGAUCCGUAGCUGGUCUGAGAGGAUGAUCAGCCACACCGGAACUGAGACACGGUCCAGACCCCUACGGGAGGCAGCAGUGGGGAAUAUUGGACAAUGGGCGCAAGCCUGAUCCAGCCAUACCGCGUGGGUGAAGAAGGCCUUCGGGUUGUAAAGCCCUUUUGUUGGGAAAGAAAAGCAGCAGGUUAAUACCCCGCUGUUCUGACGGUACCCAAAGAAUAAGCACCGGCUAACUUCGUG